AUGAGCUCAUGAGCUGGUUGAGCCAGCACAACAAGCUGGAGCCAGGUAUCAAGAAUGCAAUGAAAGAGUACUAUGGUUCUGUCCAAAUAGGAUUCAACUGGCCAAAGGUGGGAUAAUUUGAGCUACAGUGGAAUGAUGAAUGAAAUGAAUUCAAUGGAAACAUAUCAAGUAUAUUUAAAUGUAAGUUCAGAAUUAUAUCAAAAAUCUAAACUCAUUAAUCAUCUUUAAAGAACGCUAGAGAAUUAAUUCAGUGUGUUAAAAAAAAAACUGGUCUCAAAAUAAUCAAAUAAUCAAGGGUAAGUUUCUCUUUAUAGAAUUUUUCCAGCUAAUAAAUGAACGAGGAUGGAUUAAAUUGAGAUAUCA
rnacentral:lncRNA from 13 species